rnacentral:rRNA from 1 species
UACGUAGGGUGCAAGCGUUAAUCGGAAUUACUGGGCGUAAAGCGUGCGCAGGCGGUGAUGUAAGACAGUUGUGAAAUCCCCGGGCUCAACCUGGGAACUGCAUCUGUGACUGCAUAGCUAGAGUACGGUAGAGGGGGAUGGAAUUCCGCGUGUAGCAGUGAAAUGCGUAGAUAUGCGGAGGAACACCGAUGGCGAAGGCAAUCCCCUGGACCUGUACUGACGCUCAUGCACGAAAGGCGUGGGGAGCAAACGAGG